rnacentral:rRNA from 1 species
GACGAACGCUGGCGGCGUGCUUAACACAUGCAAGUCGAACGGAAAGGCCCUGCUUUUGUGGGGUGCUCGAGUGGCGAACGGGUGAGUAACACGUGAGUAACCUGCCCUUGACUUUGGGAUAACUUCAGGAAACUGGGGCUAAUACCGGAUAGGAGCUCCUGCUGCAUGGUGGGGGUUGAAAAGUUUCGGCGGUUGGGGAUGGACUCGCGGCUUAUCAGCUUGUUGGUGGGGUAGUGGCUUACCAAGGCUUUGACGGGUAGCCGGCCUGAGAGGGUGACCGGCCACAUUGGGACUGAGAUACGGCCCAGACUCCUACGGGAGGCAGCAGUGGGGAAUAUUGCACAAUGGGCGGAAGCCUGACGCAGCAACGCCGCGUGCGGGAUGACGGCCUUCGGGUUGUAAACCGCUUUCGCCUGUGACGAAGCGUGAGUGACGGUAAUGGGUAAAGAAGCACCGGCUAACUACGUG